GACGAACGCUGGCGGCGUGCCUAAUACAUGCAAGUCGUGCGAGGCUCUUCGGAGUCGAGCGGCGGACGGGUGAGUAACACGUGGGCAACCUGCCCGACAGACCGGGAUAACGCUUGGAAACGAGUGCUAAUACCGGAUACGCUCUUGCUUCGCAUGAAGCGAGAGGGAAAGUUGCUUUUGCAGCACUGUCGGAUGGGCCCGCGGCGCAUUAGCUAGUUGGUGAGGUAACGGCUCACCAAGGCGACGAUGCGUAGCCGACCUGAGAGGGUGACCGGCCACACUGGGACUGAGACACGGCCCAGACUCCUACGGGAGGCAGCAGUAGGGAAUCUUCCGCAAUGGGCGCAAGCCUGACGGAGCGACGCCGCGUGAGUGAUGAAGGCCUUCGGGUUGUAAAACUCUGUCUUCUGUGAAGAACAAGACCUGUGAACAGAACGCUCAGGCCCUGACGGUAACAGAGGAGGAAGCCCCGGCUAACUACGUGCC
rnacentral:rRNA from 1 species